rnacentral:rRNA from 1 species
UUGAAGAGUGUAGAAACAGUUUCCGUAGGUGAACCUGCGGAAGGAUCAUUGAAUCUAUUCAUUAUACUUUACUUAUUCUUGUGAACUUGUUUACCGGUCCUAUUCGGAAGCUGAUCUGGGUUGCUCUUUUGCGAUCCCAGGGAUCUUCCAUAGGGCAAAACAACCACACAUCAACCCCAAACGUUUUUCGCAGCGACCCUCGUCGCUUGCGACAAAACUCUAUUCUAAAGCACCUAAUUUGAGUCCAUGUUCUUACGAUCGCGGCGUUAACACCUCGAUGCAAAGAAUCGACUCGAAAUACCUAACCAAAAACAACUCUCAACAAUGGAUAUCUUGGCUCUCGCAACGAUGAAGAACGCAGCGAAAUGCGAUACGUAGUGUGAAUUGCAGAAUUCCGUGAAUCAUCGAAUCUUUGAACGCAUAUGGCACUCGAGGUCUUUGGCCGAGAGUAUGUCUGUCUCAGCGUCAUUCGUAACCCUCACCUCCCACCCCUCUCUCUUUCUUCUCUCGGGAAGGAGGACGCAGAGGGGCGAGCGGUGCUCCCGCCCUCGUCGCGAGCAUCCGGAACUAAAAGGUGGAGCUGGCUUUUGCUCUUGGUUUCAGUCCGAGAGCAUCAGCUGAAGCGUCGAGCGCCCGAAGCAAGAGCGUUUCCGCAAUGCGUCGAACUCUCCCUAAACCGAGAGAUCUCGGCCGCUGCGGAAGCGAUGACUGGAUAGGUUUCCUCUUUGAAACACGAAAGUCGUCGACCAUAUGCUCCUGCGCGUAGGGCCCAACGUGUUUCUCUUUUGUGUGUGGCUUCUUUACGGAGCGAUCGCCGAAAGAGAGCACAACCAAUACUCUACAACUUUGACCUGAGCUCAGGCAAGACUACCCGCUGAACUUAAGCAUAUCAAUAAGCGGAGGAAAAGAACUAAACCAGGGAAAA